rfam:Tupaia belangeri cont1.783751, whole genome shotgun sequence.
UAGCGGGGAACAGUUUCUCUCUCCCUGAUCACCUUACCUCCACUGAUGAGGCUAGAAGGUUGCGGAAGC